UGGGGGAUAUUGCACAAUGGGGGGAACCCUGAUGCAGCGACGCCGCGUGGGUGAAGGAGCGUUUCGGCGCGUAAAGCCCUAUCGGCAGGGAAGACAGGGGGAGGCGGAAGCCUGCCCGGACGGUACCUGACUAAGAAGCCCCGGCUAACUACGUGCCAGCAGCCGCGGUAAUACGUAGGGGGCAAGCGUUAUCCGGAUUUACUGGGUGUAAAGGGAGCGUAGACGGCAUGGCAAGCCUGGAGUGAAAGCCCGGGGCCCAACCCCGGGACUGCUCUGGGAACUGCCAGGCUGGAGUGCAGGAGGGGUAGGCGGAAUUCCUAGUGUAGCGGUGAAAUGCGUAGAUAUUAGGAGGAACACCGGUGGCGAAGGCGGCCUACUGGACUGUAACUGACGUUGAGGCUCGAAAGCGUGGGGAGCAAACAGG
rnacentral:rRNA from 1 species